rnacentral:tRNA from 1 species
UGCACCGUAGUUCCAAUGGUAGAACGACUGACUGUUAAUCAGGGUGUUACAGGUUCGAGUCCUGUCGGUGCAG